GCGUGUGAAUUUUCGCGAGUGAGUACCAUACAACGAAUCUGAUUGCGAGAGGAGGAAGGGGCCUGGGAGGCAUCGAGCGACAGCGGAGCAACGAUAAGUUCAACGUGGUUACUAAUGCAGUUUACAACUCCGCUGCUGCGCAUCGUAUCAAUAACGACACGGAGAGUGAAUCGCGUCAAUCCUACGAAGCUGACAACUGGGACAGCCUGAGAGGAGGAGGCUUAGGAGAAGCAUCGGGCACCGGCGGAGCAAC